AAGAUUUGCAACGUUCUUCUAUCGCCCUGGGCGACAACCGCGUGAAAGAAAAUUUUCUGCAUUCGCCAUUAAGAUCGUUGAAAACCGAACUUUGAACAUAUUCCCUUGACAUUCCGGAUGUUCUCGUGAUUCUCCUGGUGUGGUGAUGGCUUCUUCCACAGAUAGUACGGCGGGUAGUACUGUGUGUUGGGUGUAAAAUAGUCACUGGUCCACUGCUGAGUGAAAGCGGCACUCUUGGCUGUUCCAAGUCCUGAGGGUCCCUGCUGCUGUGAGCUGUUCUGGUCCCAUUCUACUGCUCUGCCCAGUGCAAAUGCAGCCAAAAACAGUUCCCCAAUGUAAAGGCCUCUUCCCAACAGCUUUGUCUCCUCUCUCAACAGCCUUUCUGUCCUCUUGAACAAAUAAUCAGAGGCCCGUCUCACCGUCUGCUACCCCCUUACCUCCUGCCCUGCACCCCUUUUUCCACUCAGCACUCCUUCCCCCAAUGCCCAGUUUUUGGAGUAAGGAAGGCAACUUUCCACUGAAGAGAGGUCCCUGGCCCUGAACCCAGUAUCUAAGCUGUUAGCUACAGGGUGGAACAAGACGGCAGUUCUCCAGAGUUUACAGCACAGAGCAGUGAAUGGUAUGGGCUGUCUGACUUCAGGGUCUCACAUGGUGUAUUAAUGCAAUGUAAGCUUUAAGCACACUUCAUCACCCCUGAGAUGAACAUGUGCUGCUUGAAUGUACAGCACAGUAAAAUUCUAUAUCAUUUAAUUUCCUCGUAUUCUUAUUUGUCUGACAAUUGACAAAGAUUCUUCCUUCCUAAUGUCUACAAUUCUGGUGUUCUUUGCUUUAUUUUUUUUUUCUUACACUACAGCGUUAUCGUCUGGAGAGAAAAAUAACAAGACAAUGUAUCUGCUUGUAAAAAUUAAUGUUCAUUCAGAAACUGAAUGCUUAAGGAUUAGAGUCUUCACCUGAAGCAAACAACCACAUCUUAAAUGUUUUUCCUCCAAAUGUUUUAUGUAGCUAGUGUAUUAUAUACCUAUGUGCACUAUAAGGAACACAUUCAACAUGGCCAUUUAUGUCUUUUUAAAUAAAAAUGGAACUGUUCAAUACAGAA